rnacentral:rRNA from 1 species
CACGAAGGGGGGCUAGCGUUGCUCGGAAUCACUGGGCGUAAAGCGCACGUAGGCGGCUUUUCUAAGUCAGGGGGUGAAAUCCUGGAGCUCAACUCCAGAACUGCCCUUGAUACUGGAAAGCUUGAGUUCGGGAGAGGUGAGUGGAACUGCGAGUGUAGAGGUGAAAUUCGUAGAUAUUCGCAAGAACACCAGUGGCGAAGGCGGCUCACUGGCCCGAUACUGACGCUGAGGUGCGAAAGCGUGGGGAGCAAACAGG